GAUGAACGCUAGCGGGAGGCCUAACACAUGCAAGCCGAGCGGUAUUGUUUCUUCGGAAAUGAGAGAGCGGCGUACGGGUGCGUAACACGUGUGCAACCUGCCUUUAUCUGGGGGAUAGCCUUUCGAAAGGAAGAUUAAUACUCCAUAAUAUAUUGAACGGCAUCGUUUAAUAUUGGAAGCUCCGGCGGAUAGAGAUGGGCACGCGCAAGAUUAGCUAGUUGGUGAGGUAACGGCUCACCAAGGCGAUGAUCUUUAGGGGGCCUGAGAGGGUGAUCCCCCACACUGGUACUGAGACACGGACCAGACUCCUACGGGAGGCAGCAGUGAGGAAUAUUGGUCAAGGGGUGCAAGCCUGAACCAGCCAUCCCGUGUGAAGGACGACUGCCCUAUGGGUUGUAAACUUCUUUUGUAUAGGGAUAAACCUACCCUCGAGAGGGUAGCUGAAGGUACUAUACGAAUAAGCACCGGCUAACUCCGUG
rnacentral:rRNA from 1 species